rnacentral:rRNA from 1 species
UACGUAGGUGGCAAGCGUUGUCCGGAUUUACUGGGCGUAAAGAGCGCGCAGGCGGUCGUGCAAGUCGCGUGUGAAAGCCCCCGGCUCAACUGGGGAGGGUCACGCGAUACUGCUCGACUCGAAGGCAGGAGAGGGAAGUGGAGUUCCCGGUGUAGUGGUGAAAUGCGUAGAUAUCGGGAGGAACACCAGUGGCGGAGGCGACUUCCUGGCCUGUUCUUGACGCUGAGGCGCGAAAGCUAGGGUAGCAAACGGG